AAUCAUUUAGCUUAAUAGAAAAAGCCUUUGUUUUGAAAACAUAAGAUAAAUAUAAUUUAAUGAUUU
rnacentral:tRNA from 1 species